rnacentral:misc_RNA from 1 species
UAAAAUAAUGGUGCAAUUUACAAAAAUCAUCAGAUUUAGAGGUGAAAACAAACUGACAGAAAACUCCAGUUUGCCGGCAGCAAAGUUGAUCUUUCCAUUUAUUUCCAAAUUUCAAUUCCAAGCGUCAUCUUUAUUCUUUAAGACGUGUCUCCCGGUUUCAAGCCAAUCCAAUUAUUGAAGCGUUAGAGACAACAGAACUUUGAAAAUAGUUUGUUUAGAUUAGAAAACAAAAAGUUUUAGAACAAACGAUUCUUUUUUAUGGAAUUGGAAUCUUCUUCUCUUGAGAGCGAUGUUUUAGUUCUUUCAUUUCUUAGUUAAUAGAUUUGUAUAAUUGACUUUUUCUUCAAAUAAUGUAAAGAAUCGAAACUUUUUCGAAAACAAAUGAACAUGUUACUGCUGUUUUUAUCUAAUUAAAAUUUUACUUGUCGUGGAACUUCUGAAUGCGAAAGCUCGUUUAAUGACUCAAGAGUUACUAUCAGCUCGUAAAUAUUUGAAUAAAUACUUAAGCUGCUUUAAUUUUUAAAUCGGGGAUUAAAUUUCGGAUGAAAAUCGGAAAAUAAGUAGUUUACUUCGAAUUUAAAAAGGAUGCAAUGGAGCCCUUAGUGAUCAAACUUCAAAUGGCGAAAAGUAUAUAAAAAAGUAAAUAAG